ACUGCAGACCGCCUUAUCGCCGCCCGCCUAGGUGGGGGGAGGAAAGUCCGGACACCACAGAGAAGCAUAUCGGGUAACACCCGUCACCCGUCCCGAAGCUUCGGGACGAGGGAGGACAAGUGCAACAGAAAGUAUGUACAGGUAAUGCUGUAGUGAAACCAGGUAAACUCUAUGCGGUGAAAUUUCAAGUAUAUCGGCAUUUAAGGGCUUCUCGUCCGUUGUCGAAGGGUAGAAAGAUGGAUCCCGAUAGUAAUGUCGGGACUAGAUAAAUGAUAAGGGCGCUUCGGCGACUAAGAAUCCGGCUUAUAGGUCUGCUUUUUUU
rnacentral:RNase_P_RNA from 1 species